rnacentral:rRNA from 1 species
CACGUAGGGCGCAAGCGUUGUCCGGAAUUAUUGGGCGUAAAGAGCUCGUAGGCGGUCUGUUGCGUCCGCUGUGAAAACCCGGGGCUUAACCCUGGGCUGGCAGUGGAUACGGACAGACUAGAGGUAGGUAGGGGAGAAUGGAAUUCCUGGUGUAGCGGUGAAAUGCGCAGAUAUCAGGAGGAACACCGAUGGCGAAGGCAGGUCUCUGGGCAUUAACUGACGCUGAGGAGCGAAAGCAUGGGGAGCGAACAGG